rnacentral:piRNA from 1 species
AGGCCCAGGGAUGGUGAUAGACAAGAAGAC